rnacentral:rRNA from 1 species
AUUGAACGCUGGCGGCAUGCCUUACACAUGCAAGUCGAACGGCAGCACGGGUGCUUGCACCUGGUGGCGAGUGGCGAACGGGUGAGUAAUACAUCGGAACAUGUCCUGUAGUGGGGGAUAGCACGGCGAAAGCCGGAUUAAUACCGCAUACGAUCUACGGAUGAAAGCGGGGGACCUUCGGGCCUCGCGCUAUAGGGUUGGCCGAUGGCUGAUUAGCUAGUUGGUGGGGUAAAGGCCUACCAAGGCGACGAUCAGUAGCUGGUCUGAGAGGACGACCAGCCACACUGGGACUGAGACACGGCCCAGACUCCUACGGGAGGCAGCAGUGGGGAAUUUUGGACAAUGGGCGAAAGCCUGAUCCAGCAAUGCCGCGUGUGUGAAGAAGGCCUUCGGGUUGUAAAGCACUUUUGUCCGGAAAGAAAUCCUUGGCCCUAAUACGGUCGGGGGAUGACGGUACCGGAAGAAUAAGCACCGGCUAACUACGUG